UUAACCCUUAUACUGGCCAGGACGUGACAGGACGGAUCUGUGUAUGGCUAUGCAGCUAUGUUGGAGGCUCAGACACUGAGACAGCAGUGCAAGUAACUUAGGCCUAUGUGUCGCUAAUAUUGUAAGUCUUAUUAGGCCAAGGGAUUAUUUUAUAUUUAGCUAGUAUAUGUAGAAUAUAUGUAUUUUGUUUUAAUGAAUGCUGGUAUUUAAAUGGAUGGAUUGCUACAUGAGUUACUAGCCGCACACCCCGGCCAUAGCCACAGUGAAUGGCGUCGUCUUGUAAUAUUUUUACAGCCCUGCUAGUUACAUAAAGCCAGUUCCAGUUACCGGGCUCCUCAGACUUGGAGAGGAGCUAGAGAUGCACCUUGUUAUGCCAUCGAUCAAGAGCAACUGAGGUUUCUGAUGUCCAGUGUUUUCAGUGUGUCUCAGAUGGCAGAUAUUCUACAUGUGUCCCGAUCGACAGUCAAAUGUCGUCUAAGACACUUCAAUCUGUCACAUGACCCGUUAUAUUCUGACAUGUCAGACUUGGCUCUGGAUGAAAAUAUUAAGGACUUGGUGGCUGGGAACGACAAACGUGGACCGGAGGCUGUUGGAUCACAAUUAAGGGCUCUGGGUGCAGAGACGCAGAGUGAGGGACAGCAUGCUUCAUGUCGCAGAGGCUGCAUAGAAGGUCAUACCGUGAUGCUGGACCAAACUCGUUUUGGCACCUUGAUGGAAACCACAAACUGAUUUGGUAGAUGUAUCUUUGUGAUAGACAAAAUUAUCUAUAUCACUGGUGAGAAGUUGUACAUUGUAACAUCUCAAAUUGUUCAUCAACAACCUGUUCAUCAACAACUAACAGUUCAGUAAGCAAUGGCCCUUGAUACCAUAUGUCACUCAUGUGGAUAAUAAUUGUUUUAUUGCAUUUCUGUUACUUCUGUGAUUGAUAGAAUAUCUGCAUCAUGAAAUUAACAAACAUGCUUAUAUUGAGGACAUACGGAGGCAAAAACAUUUGGAGCAAAGUAUUUAUGCCUAAGUGUGAACCACAGGACUCAUCAAGAUUAACGUGGUUAUUUUUCCAAUUGAAGUAGAUAUUGUAAUCACACAUCUUCCACUGCAGGAAACAGUCUAGAACAAACCCUUGUUGUAGCCUUUAGAGGGCUAACGGAAGUGCUUAUAGUUGUGAUCCACGGUAGACUGUUCCUUAACAUUGUUCCACAUUUUGGAUUUUUAUUUAAUAUUUGGUCUGCUGCUUUGUUAUAUACUGCAGGAACCUGAUGCAGCAUUUAAGUGGUAAAGGAGGAUGGUGAUGUUUGUAUAUUUAAUGUGUCUUCAGCUUUUGUAUCAACCAGUGCUGUAUUUUCUGAUUUAGGUAGAGGAUAGUCAUACAUGGUGGCAUUGAUGGGUACAGCCAUCUCGUUGUUUCUCCGUGCUUCGUGCAACAAUCGCAGCAGUACUGUAAUGGAUUGCUUCGGACGGACUAUGGAGGAGAAAACAACACUUUCUGCUUGUUGAAUGUAAUACAUAUUGAAAAUAUUAUUUAAAGAAUAGAGCUACAUGCAUCCUUAAAAUGUCUUCUUGACCUACACAUUGAUUACAUUCUAUAGUGAGUGAUGCAUGCGGCUACAUUUUUUUUCUGUAAAUCAUUUUCAGAACGCAAACACAUUAUGUUUGACAGCUUUAUUGCUUUCUCCAUGUUUUUGAAAUGUAUAAGCCUUUAAAUGACCUUUUACAGUACUUCUACAAACGAGACUACACUUGUGGCAGCACCUAUUCCUGUGGCACCCCAUCUUCUGCAACACUUUUUGUGGCCCCCCUCCACCUAUACCACUUCCUGUGGCCUCCCCUCCACCAUUCCCUGAGGCUUAUCGUCCACCUUCACCACACUCUUCUGUUGAUGUUGGUGAUGACAAUGAUUAAGUCAUCCCUGUAAAUAAUUCAAUGUCUUGUUAUUACAGAUGAAUUGUGGGAAGUAUCUGAGCUUUGUUAUUCUGAAUGUCUCUUUUAGUGUGGACCUCCAAACACUGCUGAAGUUAAUGAGAUGCCAACCAAAUUAACAUGAUGAGGGACAACGUUUAUGAUUGUGCAAUGACAGGCUUUAAAAGAGCCCGCUUUAAUCCAGAGGCAAAAAUAGACGUGGUUUUUAGGGAUACUGAUGGAAAAGGGGCAGCUGAUGAGGGUGGUCCCUCAAGAAUUUCUCCGACUGCUAAUGAGUGCCAUCCAUAACUCUGCAAUAUUUGAGGGAACUGACUGGCAAAAAUGCCUUUCUUGCAACUCUCAAGCACUCUAUGAUGGCGUAUACAAGCAGGUGGGCCGCAUGAUUGCUGUCUGUCUGGUACAUGGGGGUGUAGAGCCACAUUUUUUCAGAGGCUAUACAGGCGAGUGUGUGGCCUACAACCUCCUGUGCCAGAACUGAAAGAAAUUGCGGAAUAUGACUUCAGAGAUAAGUUGGAGAAGUUCAAUAAACAAUCUAAGAUCCAGUUAGCACAAACUGUUGACGAGGCAAAGGAAGCGGUACAGUGCGAUACAUUCAUAAAUUGGAGAGGGAUGCCCUGGUUGGAGAGGGAUGCCCUGGUGGAGUCAGCCACAAAGUUCUACUUAGAAAGCAGGAUACGGGAUGCUCUUGAGCAAUUCAAAGAGGAUCUGGAGUGUCUAUGUCUCCUGCCUUACAUGAAUAGACACUCAAGCCUCUUCAGAGAGGUUUUCAUCUACACUGAGAAACCUCUUUUGGCCAAAGACAUAGCUUCUCUCCAAAGCAGAGCGGUCCCCACCUGGUACCAAUCAAAGAGCAAUAGAGAGCAGAGUCAUGUUUCUGGAGGGACUGGCUUCUGGAGGUGGAAGGGGGGAACACAUACCCUUUAACCCUGGAGAAGGUUUUCAUUUUCACUUCGGGGGCUUCAGCAUUCCUAGGCUGGGAUUGCCAGUGGAGCCACAGCUACAGUUCUCUCUGCUACCGCACGGCAAGCGGUACCGGAGCGCCAAGUCUACGUCCAAGAGGCUUCUAAAGAGAUUCUACCCCCAAGCCAUAAGACUACUGAACAUCUAGUUAAAUAGCUACCCAGACUAUUUGCUGCUACUCUAUCUAUGCAUAGUCACUUUAAUACCUCUACCUACAUGUAUAUAUUAACUCCGCACAUUUUCUGUACCGGUAGCCCCUGUACUGUUAUUUUACUGAUGCUCUUUAAUUAUUUUUUAAACUGCAUUGUUGAUUAAGGGCUUGUAAGUAAGCAUUUCACUGUAAGGUUGUAUUUGGCGCAUGUGACAAAUACAAUUUUAUUUAAAGAGAAUUCAUUUAAGGGGAAUUAUCCAAAAUGUUUAUUGCAUGACUACCUAAUAAAUUCGGAAAACUGCAGCCAAUGUUAA